ensembl:lncRNA
AUGAUUUUAACUGAACUGUCCACUAGUGUUUUCCCAUUGGUUAUGGAUUUAGUGUGUCUCUUCCCUCAGGUCCAACUAUUAGUCAGUCAUGGACCAAUCAGAGGGUGGCUUACUGGAGAGAGAGAACCAAUCAMAGGUCGGCUUACUGGAGAGAUGAUACCAUACAUACCUCAGAACCCUACACGCUGUCCGGAACCCUACGCGCUGUCCAUAACCCUACGCGCUGUCCAUAACCCUACACGCUGUCCGGAACCCUACGCGCUGUCCGGAACCCUACGUGCUGUCCGGAACCCUGGGCGCUGUCCGGGAACCCUGGGCGCUGUCCGGAACCCUGGGCGCUGUCCGGAACCCUGGGCGCUGUCCGCAACACUGGGCGCUGUCAGAACCUUGAGGUGGUGCAGGAGCCGCAGGGCUCUACAUGACAGAGCACUGGAUCGCCGUCAGGCUCCACAGUGAAGAACUGACCCAGUAGAGGGCACCAAUACUGGGGUAGAGCAGUCUGGAAGGAGGGCAGGCUGCCCAGAGGACCAGAGAGCAGAUGUAGCCUACAGAGGAGAGAGAAGGGAGCCUUGGCCCCGCUAGAAAAAGAAGAGGGGUGGUUCUAUGAGGCUCUGUAUUAGAAUCUGGAUGAGGGGAGAAGAUUCUGGAAUGUGAAGCUAUGACACAUUACUGUGAAGCUAUGACACAUUACUGUGAAGCUAUGACACUUUAUUGUGAAGCUAUGACACUUUAUUGUGAAGCUAUGACACUACUGUGAAGCUAUGACACUACUGUGAAGCUAUGACACUACUGUGAAGCUAUGACACUUUACUGUGAAGCUAUGACACUUUACUGUGAAGCUAUGACACUACUGUGAAGCUAUGACACUUCAAAUCAAAUCAAAUCAAACCACUUUAUUGUGAAGCUAUGACACUUUACUGUGAAGCUAUGACACUUUACUGUGAAGCUAUGACACUACUGUGAAGCUAUGACACUUUAUUGUGAAGCUAUGACACUUUACUGUGAAGCUAUGACACUACUGUGAAGCUAUGACACUUUACUGUGAAGCUAUGACACUUUACUGUGAAGCUAUGACACUUUACUGUGAAGCUAUGACACUUUACUGUGAAGCUAUGCUUGCGAUGUCUAUGUUUGACUGUGGUGUUUUGAUACCGUACUGCUUAUUCACUGCUAGGCACUUUUAUAUUGUUUUGUAAUGUGAACAGUUUCCAAGACCUUCUACAGUUUGUAGUAAGUGAAACUUCAUUGUUAUGGAAAUGUACUAUGACAAUGACCACCCAGGCUGUAACCAGCUGUGAAAUUGGUUUUAAAUGUCCCUUUAAUUCUUUAAUNNNNNNNNNNNNNNNNNNNNNNNNNCUUGGUUGCUUUUACCAACAUUGUUAACAUUUGCAAGGCAGCCCCCCCCCACACCCCCUUUCAUAAACACGUAGUUGUUAAUUAUACUCUUUAACAGAUACAGUCUGUGUCCAUGUCGUUUUGUCUUUAUGGUUUUAAAUAUCAGGGUAAAUGAUGCUAUGUGCUUGUGAAAUCAGACGCCCCCCUAAAGGUGAAUCCUGUUUCUUUUGGCUCGAGUCCUCUGCUGCUCGCCACGUCGUUCAACACACACACACCACAACACACACACACACACGCACACACACCACACACACACACACACACACACACACACACGCACGUAAACACACCAAUCCCUGGCUAACCCAGCCUAUGUUGCCUAAAGAUAUGAAAUGCUAAUGUGAACUGUAUUUGCAUGUCCUUUCCGCUCAAAUGUGCAAAGCUUUCGCAACAAAUGUUGGCUUGCUCAACGUCCAAGUCUGUAAUGCGUGAGAUCUGGCUGUGAGGAUGUGUGUGUAAGGGAGAUAGGUUACCAGCAUUUGCUCUCUACCUCUCUCUGGCUCCUCCGCUGACCCCCCCCACCCCUUCUCUCUGUCUCUCGUACUCUCUCCCUUCCUCCUUUCUCUCCUGUUCUCCCCACGACUCCCUCCCACCUCCUUUCUUCCCAUACUCCAUCCCUUUCUCUCCUGCUUCCCCCAGACUCCCUCCCUACCUCUUUCUUCUCGUACCUCCAUCCCUUCGCUCCUGUCUCUCGUACUCUCUCCCACCUCUUCUCCCCUGUCUCCAUCCCUUUCUCCCUGUCGCCAUCCCUUUCUCCCCGUCUCCAUCCCUUUCUCGUCCUCCAUCCCUGUCUCCUGUCUCUCGGACCUCUCCCUACCCUCCUUCUCUCCCCUGUCCCAUCCUUUCUCUCUCCUGCUCUCCCCAGACUCCCUCCCUACCUCCUUUUCCCCCUGUCUCCCACCUCCCUGGCUCCUCCCAGCGCCCUCCCUACCCCGCUCCCGACAUCCAUCCCGCUCCCUCCGCCCCAGAGCCCCUCCUACCUACUUCUCCUGUCUGCCAUUCCCUGUUCUCUUCGUCUGUACUUUCCCUACCUCCUUUCUCCCCUGUCUCACCCUUUCUCUCCUGCUCCUGCCUCCCAGCCUCUCGCACUACCUCCUCUCCGCCCAUGGCCACCCUUUCUCGCUUCCCCAGACUUCUCCCUACCUCCUCGUUCUCCCCUGUCUCCAUCCCUUUCUCUCCG